UACGUAGGGUGCAAGCGUUAAUCGGAAUUACUGGGCGUAAAGCGUGCGCAGGCGGUUUUGUAAGUCUGACGUGAAAUCCCCGGGCUCAACCUGGGAAUUGCGUUGGAGACUGCAAGGCUAGAAUCUGGCAGAGGGGGGUAGAAUUCCACGUGUAGCAGUGAAAUGCGUAGAGAUGUGGAGGAACAUCGAUGGCGAAGGCAGCCCCCUGGGUCAAGAUUGACGCUCAUGCACGAAAGCGUGGGGAGCAAACAGG
rnacentral:rRNA from 1 species